ensembl:lncRNA
GUUAAGGUUAGGCAUUAACUCUGAAUGGUUAAGGUUAGGCAUUAACUCUGAAUGGUUAAGGUUAGGGGUUAAGGUUAGGCAUUAACUCUGAAUGGUUAAGGUUAGGCAUUAACUCUGAAUGGUUAAGGUUAGGCAUUAACUCUGAAUGGUUAAGGUUAGGCAUUAACUCUGAAUGGUUAAGGUUAGGCAUUAACUCUGAAUGGUUAAGGUUAGGCAUUAACUCUGAAUGGUUAAGGUUAGGCAUUAACUCUGAAUGGUUAAGGUUAGGCAUUAACUCUGAAUGGUUAAGGUUAGGCAUUAACUCUGAAUGGUUAAGGUUAGGGGUUAAGGUUAGGCAUUAACUCUGAAUGGUUAAGGUAAGGGGUUAAGGUAAGGGGUUAAGGUUAGGCAUUAACUCUGAAUGGUUAAGGUAAGGGGUUAAGGUUAGGGGUUAACUCUGAAGGGUUAAGGUAAGGGGUUAAGGUAAGGGGUUAAGGUAAGGGGUUAAGGUAAGGGGUUAAGGUUAGGCAUUAACUCUGAAUGGUUAAGGUAAGGGGUUAAGGUUAGGCAUUAACUCUG